rnacentral:rRNA from 1 species
GACGAACGCUGGCGGCGUGCUUAACACAUGCAAGUCGAACGGAAAGGCCCUGCUUUUGUGGGGUGCUCGAGUGGCGAACGGGUGAGUAACACGUGAGUAACCUGCCCUUGACUUUGGGAUAACUUCAGGAAACUGGGGCUAAUACCGGAUAGGAGCUCCUGCUGCAUGGUGGGGGUUGGAAAGUUUCGGCGGUUGGGGAUGGACUCGCGGCUUAUCAGCUUGUUGGUGGGGUAGUGGCUUACCAAGGCUUUGACGGGUAGCCGGCCUGAGAGGGUGACCGGCCACAUUGGGACUGAGAUACGGACCAGACUCCUACGGGAGGCAGCAGGGGGGAGUAUUGCACAAUGGGAGGAACCCUGAUGCAGCAACGCCGCGUGCGGGAUGACGGCCUUCGGGUUGUAAACCGCUUUCGCCUGUGACGAAGCGUGAGUGACGGUAAUGGGUAAAGAAGCACCGGCUAACUACGUG